rnacentral:lncRNA from 1 species
GACCCGAUUCACCGCGGUGGAUCCAGUGCUCCGGACCGAGAGCUUGCCAGAAGCGCCGGUCUCCGGCUGGAGCUGACCCUCCGCGGCGAGCGUGGGCUGGGGAAGGAGGCGCCCGUGGGCGGAGCUGAGGAAGUCGCGCUCUGGGCGGCGGUGUCUGAUCUGCAACAACUCCGAGUUCUGAGGACACCCUGCAAGGAGCUGAGCAGAUGUGGACAGUGGAAGGUGACCGUCACAGAAGUUGCCUUGGUCGUGGUGUCUCUCCACAGCAACAGAACAGUCUGAGAUGACUUCCUGCACCGGGUUUCUUUGGGAUGAUCCUUUCCCUCGGGCAGGUCGCCACACAACCUUCUCUUCUGUAACUCCGUACAGCCUCAGGCUGCACAGCACAUCCUUCCCCAGCCCCGCCCCAAGGCUGUCACCGACUAGCUGGCGCCAGUCCCAGGAAGGAAGCACAUCCUCUCAGAAAAGAUGGUGUGGUUUCCUAGGAAACUUCAUCUACAAACAAGGGUGCACCGGGAACCGCGUGGGGACGUCCUGGGGCGAGUGUUUCUGCUGCACUGCCAGGAGCGAGCUGACAAACGCAGCGUGGGGACCACUUACCUGACAGGAGGAUGCCCUUCUCCCCGACCACAGUGUCGAAGCCCUGUGGGAAGCUUCGGAUGAACUCAGCGGCGUUGGCCACCUCUGCGGCCCUCUCCACCUGCUGGGCUGUGACCGAGGAGAGGUUGUCAGCUCCAUAGGCAAUGUUCUCAGCGACAGAGCAGGAGAACAGGACUGGCUCCUGAAAACGGAAUGGAGCACAUCUGUCAGGGGCUUCAGACGACUCCCAAGGGCGCGCCUCAGCCAGGAGUGGCGCACGCUUCUAAAGCUGUCUGGAGGUCUUGUUCCUCUACGACUUCACCCAGCUGACUUUAAAAGUUCCAGUCAAGGGGCCGGCAAAUGUCUCAGGAGGUAAAGGUGCCUGCUGUGAAGUCUGAUAACAUGAGCUUUCUGUAAGUUCAAGCCCCAGAACCUGCUCAGUAAAAGGAGAACCAGCU